GAAGGAAUAGCUCAAUGGUAGAGAGCACGCUUAGCCUGCACGAGGUCCUGGGUUCAAUCCCCAGUGCCUGCA
rnacentral:tRNA from 1 species